rnacentral:lncRNA from 1 species
GUGAAUCAUAACCAUGUGAGGCAAAGCCUACACCAGAUCUGACUGUGUUUCCAAAUUGACCAUACAACUUAUUGGGGUACAUCCGAUUUAUAUAACCCUGGGUGGUAUUCAUUCCUGACAUGGGUCUAGGAUGAGGAAAACCCUGCAGCAAAAAAAAGAGAAAGAAACAGAUUAAAUUAUGAUUAAUUCAAUACUGAAAAGGAAAUUUAGAAGUAGAUAAAGAAUGCUUACUACAUAGUGAGAUCCGGGACGGAAACUUGGACUUCUUGAAGAAGGUAUGUUGUUUGCAUUUGAGAUAGAGGAGGUAAUAGUAGAGCUACUGACAAGCCUAGACUGUCCAUCUGAGUACAGUGGACCAUCUGACCAAGGGAAAGAAUUCCUCAACCCAUCAUAGCCAUAUCUGGGAUCCUGAUAACCCGAAGCAGGAAUAUGCCCUGGCAAAGCACCCCUUGCAUACGCAUUUGAACCAAAUGUUGAAUUUUGAUAAGAAGAUUUCAAAGGAGCUGAACCAUUGUUUCCCUUUGUUCCCCCACCAUUUGUCAAGCCAGUACCAUUUGUAUUCGUUGUUUCCACAGGAAUUGGCUUUUGCUCAGUGGCUGCAGAGGUAGAAAUGUCUCCCUGUGUUGGAGGAACUGUUGUAGGACUAGG